CUUUUUCGGAAGCGGUAUUUGGGCGUCUCCUGUGCAGGCACCUUCUUAAGGCGCAGCCGCCGGACCAGCAGCACGAUGCCAAUUGCAAAGAGGACGGUGAGGAGGCUGACGCUGAGCAUCGCCCACAGCACCGUGCUGGUGGAGAGCUGCUCCUCGGCAAAGAGCUCAGACAGCGUGGCCAUCAGGGACGCGUCCUCUGCCUCCUCCUGCGGCUCCAACGCGCUCUGCCCCAUAUCCGCCGAGGGGUUUCGCCCAUGCAGAAAUCAAUCUCUUCCCUCCCCGCUCCGGCCCCGGCGGCUGCCCCGUGAGGUCGUGGUCCC
rnacentral:lncRNA from 1 species